AAAGUCACAAAGUAAAGUGUGCUUACAAUUUUAGCAUCACUUCAGUUUGUUUUGUGCGCGCAUGUAUAUCCAAUUUUAAAAUUGUUUGUUCAUGUUUGUUUGUUUGUUUUUUCGUCCAUUUGCAGUUGGUUAUCGUGUGUUCAAUUGAUUUUAUGACUCGGAUUUCCCUGUGCAAUGAUACGCAAUGUGGCCUCGGAUGAUGGUCUCGGCCACACAAGCCUGUAGAGAUAGAGCUUCGUCCUUUCUUUUUGUCCGACGCAACGAGAAUCAACGCUCCGAACCAUCCAGUAAUUUUGAAAACAGUAACAUAAAUCUGUACAAUAAUUAUGCAAGUGCACCGUAUGCAACCUACACAGCACCUCAAUAUACAACGGCAAAUCCAAAUCGAUGUCCAGCUAAUGCAAAUAUUAAGCCAACUUCUAGUGAUGCCGGCAGUGUCGGUGGUUGUCAUGCCGACCAUCAGGAACCAAAAACGACCAACAAGCCUUUGGUGUCAGUUCGAUCAUGCGGACAUCAUGUGCUACGAAAAUCAAAACUCGAUAAUGGCAGCAACAGUGAAACGGUAGUAGCCAACAAACAUGAACGACAAUUUAAUGAGUCUGUGAUAGAGGAGGGACACAAUAACAAUUUCGAUCCGCCACCUUCUCAACUAGCAGGUUCAAGCGCAACAACGGCAAAUUCGUCAACAAAAUUGGGUACAUUUCGACGAAUGCUAAAUGCUAUUAGGUACUGCUUUACAAAACGGGGUCGUUCAAAAAAGCCCGAUUGGCUUUUAGACAAACAACCGUAUCGUUCACGUUCGAAAAGUAUACCAUCGGAAGAUGUGCCAUCAGAUGCAUCAACAACAAAUAUAUUAUGCAGUCACCUGUCAGUUGAUCCGUCCCUGCCAUCACAUUAUCGGUGGUUAACUUUAGUGUCAUUGGCUGUGUUGUACAACAUUGUAUUCGUGGUUGGACGUGCGGUUUUCUGGGAAAUUAAUCAGAGAGUACCAAUGCUAUGGUACGUUCUGGAUUAUGUGUGUGAUGGUAUUUAUUUCAUCGAUAUAAUAGUGCAUUGUCAUGAAGGUUAUUUGGAUCAAGGUCUUUUAGUUCGUGAUGCAGUCAAAUUGCGGGCACACUAUUUUACAACAAAAGGAUGGCGUCUGGAUUUUUUAUCGCUUAUACCGACAGAUUUCGCAUAUAUUUGGUGGCAAACACCAGGCGAAUGUCUCAAAAAAGUGCCAUGCUCAGUUAUUGUGCGAUUAAAUCGGCUAUUCCGUCUGCCAAGAAUGCUCGAAUGGUUUGAACGUACUGAAACGGCAACCGGUUACCCAAACGCAUUUCGUAUUUGUAAAGUUGUUUUAGCGAUUUUAGUUUUAAUCCACUGGAAUGCCUGUUUGUACUUUGCGAUUAGUUAUGCCCUUGGAUUCAAUUCGGAUAAUUGGGUAUACAAUACAAAUGGUACAAUCAAUUCAACACUGUCACGACAGUAUAUUUACUCAUUUUAUUGGUCAACGUUGACCUUGACCACGAUCGGUGAGACGCCAACACCCGAAAAUGAUAUCGAAUAUUUGUUCGUUGUGGCCGAUUUUUUAGCAGGCGUUCUAAUUUUUGCCACCAUUGUUGGUAAUAUUGGUUCGAUGAUUUCCAAUAUAAAUGUGUCACGGGUUGAGUUUCAAAAUCGUAUGGAUGGCGUUAAACAGUACAUGGCUUUCCGGAAAGUAGGCCACGAACUUGAAGCGAGGGUAAUACGCUGGUUUGCGUACACAUGGGCACGCAGCGGAGCAUUAGAUGAAGAACGUGUGCUGUCUGCGUUGCCAGAUAAAUUCAAAGCCGAAAUAGCGAUCCGUGUUCACAUGGAUACAUUGAAGCAAGUGCGAAUCUUUCAAGAUUGUGAGCCCGGUUUGCUGGAGGCGCUGGUAUUAAAACUUAAGCUUCAGGUAUUCAGUCCGGGAGAUUAUAUUUGUCGCAAAGGUGAUGUUGGAAAAGAGAUGUACAUUGUAAAACGAGGUCGUUUAUCGGUAGUGGCUGAUGAUGGUGUUACUGUAUUGGCAACACUUGGUGCGGGCUCUGUGUUUGGUGAAGUAUCUGUACUCGAUAUACCUGGUAAUAAAACCGGUAAUCGUCGUACAGCCAACGUUCGAUCACUGGGCUAUUCGGAUCUGUUUUGUUUGGCCAAACGGGACUUAUGGGAGACAUUGGGCGAUUAUCCAGAAGCGAGAGCAUCGUUAACUGAACGCGGUUGUCAACUUUUACGAAAAGAUGGUUUGCUCGAUGAAGAGCUAUUUGCAAAGGCAUCAACCGUACAAGAAACACUGACCGAUGGUGUUCACAAUCUGGAAAAGUGCGUUGAAAAUCUAAACAUACGAUUGGCUCGUCUCCUUGCCGAAUAUUCAGCCAGUCAAGCCAAAAUAAAACAACGUAUUGCCAAAUUGGAAUUAAGUGCCAUGCAUGCAUCACCUAUGUCGGAUACGGUCGAUGAUGAUUUACUACUAUUUCGAAAGAAUCGACUGUAUUCGAUUCAACCGAGACAAAGGAAACCACGAUUAGCGCUAACAUUCACCCGAAAAGGCACUAUUUAAAUUGCAAAAACGCGAUAUCACAACAACAACAACAACAACGGCAACUAUGGCUGAUUUGUAUAGAAUGUAUCAACCAACUAUAUAUAAUCGGUGUGUUUUAACUGUUUAAAUUUAUCACACCCGGAAACAAUUUAUAGAGCGCCUCAAAACAAAUUCUAGAUUUUAUUACCGUUACGAUCCAAACAUAAAAGUCACUCUUCGGUUUUGUCGAUGUUUGAAGUGAUUCUAAGUUGAGAAUUCUUUCGUCGCAUGAAGAGUACAAAAAAUGACACAAAAACCAAAUAAAAGUAUGAUAUCGCAUUGGAACACACGAUUUCUCUGUACUUAACUUUCUUAUUACAAAAAAAUUUAAAAACAAUUGAAAACAUAGGUUGAAGGUGUUUUUGCGUGAAAUUUAAACUAUACAACAAAAAAUGAGAUAAAACUCAUAUUGGAUAUUAUUGUUAGAUUAUUUGAAAUUUAUCUACUAAAUAGGGGGGGUUAAAAUGGGGAAACAAAUACAAUUUUUAUAUAGAUAAAACAUAAAUUUAAACUAUAAAUCGUUGUUGAACCAAAAUAUCGAAAGAAAAAUCAAAACUCAUAUUUCUGCAUUUAAAUUUAGAUGAACUAAAAACAAGCUCGAAAGAAUAAUACAUUUUAAAACAGCCAAACUCAAAUGCGUUCCAUCGUAACUCUAUAACCGUAUAAACAAAUGCAACUCUCUAUUCUCAUAAGUAUAAAAGUACAUUGUAGGUAGGAUACAGUGCUGUAUCCAGUGUUAGCACCAGUGUCAGUGAUAUUUUUAACGUUUCAACCCAUACUUGGCGUUAAAACUAUGUUAAGUAGCACUGACAGUGGUGCCAAUACUGAAUACAGCACUGUAUUCUACCUACAAUGUACUUUUAUACUUAUGAGAGUAUUUGCAGAAAAGAAAAUAGUUUUUUUUGUUCGUUGGGUGAAUCGGUCUGGACAUUUUUACUGUAUAAUUCACUCUCGUUCUAUAUUUUAAAUGAAAAACUAGCCACUUUAUUAAAUUUCGUAAUUUAAAAUAUGGCACCCAACAGCAAAUGCAUUUCGUUGGGGCGCAUUUUAUUUCUUUUGGGAUUCUUCCACUUUGUAGCCAGCAUAGAUUUGUAAUUUCAACAACAACAACAAAACAACCACUAGGAUAUAUUUAAUAAACAAACAAGCUGUAAUGGAUUUGAUUUCGUUGAGAGUAACCAAGUCAAUGUUCUAGAUAAUGAAAUAUAGAUCUUAAACUUAAUUGUAAAUACAGAGACAAAGCUUACAUAGCUUGAAACAGCAAAAGAGAAAAUGAUAUGAACAUACAAAAUUAUAUGAAUCUGUAUACAAAAUAUUUACGAAUAAAUGC